UACGUAGGGGGCAAGCGUUGUCCGGAUUUAUUGGGCGUAAAGAGCGUGUAGGCGGCUUUACAGGUCCGUUGUGAAAACUCGAGGCUCAACCUCGAGAUGUCGGCGGAAACCAUCUGGCUAGAGUCCGGAAGAGGAGAGCGGAAUUCCUGGUGUAGCGGUGAAAUGCGCAGAUAUCAGGAAGAACACCCGUGGCGAAGGCGGCUCUCUGGGACGGUACUGACGCUGAGACGCGAAAGCGUGGGGAGCGAACAGG
rnacentral:rRNA from 1 species